GACGAACCACACGAACGUUAUUCGGAAUUACUGGGCUUAAAGGGUGCGUAGGCUGUGCGGAAAGUUGGGUGUGAAAGCCCCCGGCUCAACCGGGGAAUUGCGCCCAAAACUACCGUGCUCGAGGAAGACAGAGGUGAGCGGAACUUCGGGUGGAGCGGUGAAAUGCGUUGAUAUCCGAAGGAACACCGGUGGCGAAAGCGGCUCACUGGGUCUUUUCUGACGCUGAUGCACGAAAGCUAGGGGAGCAAACGGG
rnacentral:rRNA from 1 species